rnacentral:misc_RNA from 1 species
UAUUACUUUGUGUCUCUUAGUCAACCUGAUCUGGUCUAUGUUCGUGGGGAGGGCAUCAUGGGCAUGUCCACACCAGUGUCCACCCCAUGCCCACUCCCCCCGCACUCGCCCAUGCUCGUCGCACAGACCAAAGCAGGCACUCCCGCACCCACUCCCUCAUAUCGAGGGGCACCAUCCAGCACCCCUCCCCCACUAAUGAUCCUUCCGCAGGUUCACCUACGGAAA